GUGCUUGCUUCGGCAGCACAUAUACUAAAAUCGGAACGAUACAGAGAAGAUUAGCAUGGCCCCUGCACAAGAAAAAGUUCAUUCCUAGCUUUAUUUAUUUAUUUU
ensembl:snRNA U6 U6 spliceosomal RNA